GGCUUUUUUCGCGGCGGAGCUCGACCGCCCACGCCGGUUCUGACGGAGUUCGUCACCGCCCACAAGGACGAGUUCGGGGUCGAGCCGAUCUGUGCCGUGCUGACCGAGCACGGCAUGAAGAUCGCCCCG
rfam:Aeromicrobium sp. Root344 contig_1, whole genome shotgun sequence.